rnacentral:rRNA from 1 species
UACGAAGGGGGCUAGCGUUGUUCGGAAUUACUGGGCGUAAAGCGCGCGCAGGCGGUUCUUCAAGUCAGGGGUGAAAGCCCAGAGCUCAACUCUGGAAUGGCCUUUGAGACUAGAGAACUAGGGUACGGGAGAGGUGAGUGGAAUUCCGAGUGUAGAGGUGAAAUUCGUAGAUAUUCGGAAGAACACCAGUGGCGAAGGCGGCUCACUGGCCCGUUACCGACGCUCAGGCGCGACAGCGUGGGGAGCAAACAGG